CAAAGAAACAGGAAAGCUGUUGUGUCAAGUUGAAAAUUAAGGUUUUUCUUUCCUAAUAUUAAGCAAGUGUAUAUCUUACAUUUUAGCCACAAGCCUUGGACAGGUGUAAGCCAGUUGUGUUCGAUAAAAGCCAAGAGGUCAUCAUUGGCGUUCAGCUUACCUGUUCCAUCACUCUGUUCCAUGUCUGUGAGGCUGGUAACUGUACUCACAUAAUCCCGGUUGGUUGCUGCUGUGAUGGCAGAUGCGCAUUCAAACAGAAAGAUGAUGAACAUUAUGAUAAGGGCAGCAAAGAUGCCAAAGAUGCAUGUGAGGAAGAAGGCAAAGCCUGUAAAAAUGGCAAUCCAGGCCGCAGCAAAGAUGUCAUCUUUUCCCGACACACCAGAUAUGGGGUAGAGUUUAUACCCGUCCACUGCUACCCAAAUGGCCACUGCGAAUAAUGCCAGUCCUGCUGCCUGGAAGGGGAAAAUACAU